AAGAAAAAAGAGAGAAGGUAAGAAAGAAAAAAAGAGAGAAAGAAAGAAAAAGGAAGAAAGAAAAAAUAUCAGUGGGUUUAUCCAAACAUAAUCCCAUUGUAAGUUGAGGAGCACCUAUAUAUGAAUUUGGGGGGCACACAAACAUUCAAACCAUAGCAGGUGGUACAAUCCAUAAAACGGGUCUUUCUCUCAGCUGAUCAGGCACCACACACGUUUUCUAUAGUUCCUGUCCUUCAAUUUAUGAAUACAUACAUUCUUUAAAAGCAAAAUUUUUUGAACCUCUAUGUCUCCCAAUAAGACCAUUUAUCUAUGCAACUAUUAUGUACAAGGCACUGUACUAGACACAGAGCCUUCUACUAAAAAUCAUAUUUGCUUCUCCUCACCAGCUUUUGUCGGUCUUGGGGAAAAGGAUGAAGAAAUGACUACAGUGGAGAGAUGGAGUCACCUGGCAGCAGCUGUCUGAAUAGGGGACUGAGUACAGGAUAGAAGGUGAUUCCUACACAUACUGCCAAAGCCAGCCUCCUCUUCCUCAUCGUAUCUCUCAUCCUCCACUUCAUCUUCCACAUCACUGCUCUGAGGACUGGAGGCCUGAGACCCUGAAGGAGAAGGUGGUACUGAGGAAGGCCUGGGAUAUUUAAAUCCUUCUGUCUGCCAAAGACAAAAAUAAGACAUAAACAUCACAACAGUUUCUUGGCUUUCAACGAUGUAAAUACUAUGCAUGCACUAUCAAUUUUUUAAGUAGUUAUCUAUCUUUUGUAGUCUGGGUGCUAUUAAACUUUGAUUCAUUUUGAUUUUGAUACCACCAA